CUAACCCCUCCCCCACGCCGAGAGGGCACACGCACCUGGAGGAGACUCAGCCUUCUGGCCCCCUCAGGACGGGUCUCCCCCGGUGUAACUCUCAGGAGGAGUCUCCCUGUCACCCAUUCUUUGGGAAACAACUGCUGUAGUUGCCACAAGGAUGUGACUGAAAAUGGAAGGGGACACAAAUCUACAAGAAAAUCCCUGCCUAUUAUAACAUGGUCCACACUUGGAAGAAUGUGAGAACCAGUGCAGUUGGAUACAUUUUCAAGGAAGAUACUAGGGCUGGGUCUACACUAGAAAGUUAAGUCAACCCAGCUAGGUCACUCUGGUGUGAAAAAUUCACAUCACAUCCUACAGAGGCUACCAUGGGACAGCAGCCAUAGAGCCUACAAGAAAAACACCCUCAUGAGAGGCAUAUAGCUCUUACCACUGUUCUUUUUGUGCUAUUGUGAAAGUGAAGAUGUGUUCUACCAUCGUAAACACCUUUUGGCCUCCGAAGGAUAUCCCCCAGUUCCAAAAGUGACCAUUCUGGCCAGCAUCUUCACUGGUCUGAUGCCAGCAGGUCAUUUGGAUCAUAUCACCUUCCAAAGGACGCAACAUUAUUUAAUCAUCUUUAUCUUUCUAUUCACAUUUUUUCUUCUUCCACAAGAAAAGACGGGAUUCGCUGUGUAGUCAUCAUAAUGCCACAAGGAUAGUCCCUGCUGUUGAAGGGAGCCUCUCUUCUAUAAUGGUCAAGAUCUCACUGGUAACACAUGCCUCAUUACUCUGGAUGGCAUGUACAGAUACUUAUAU